rnacentral:rRNA from 1 species
GGUUAAAAAGCUCGUAGUUGGAUUUCUGCCGAGUAUCUGGUGGUUCAUACCAUGUAUGUAAUCUACUGUGAACUUGGCAUCCUCGUAAAAUUCGCAUGUGCUCUUAAUUGGGCGUGUGCGGGAUUUACGACUUUUACUUUGAGGAAAUUGGAGUGUUUACGGCAAGCAAAUGCUUUGAACAUAUUAGCAUGGAAUAAUAAUAUAGGACCUUGGGGCUAUUUUAUUGGUUUCUAGAACUGAGGUAAUGAUUAAUAGGGUCAGUUGGGGGCAUUCGUAUUAACGCGUCAGAGGUGGAAUUCUUGGAUUGCGUUACGACGAACUACUGCGAAAGCAUUUGCCAAGGAUGUUUUCAUUGAUCAAGAACGAAAGUAUGGGGAUCGAAGAUGAUUAGAUACCGUCGUAGUCUAUACCGUAAACUAUGCCAACUAGAGAUGGGAGGCCGGUCUUUUAGUGACUCCUUCUGCACCUUAUGAGAAAUCAAAGUUUUUGGGUUCCGGGGGGAGUAUGGUCGCAAGGCUGAAACUUAAAGGAAUUGACGGAAGGGCACCACCAGGAGUGGAGCCUGCGGCUUAAUUUGACUCAACACGGGGAAACUCACCAA